CUGCCCCUGGGCCCCUUCCCUGCCAUGGCGGCUCUUCCCCAGGUAGCCCCUGUCCCCAGGUGGGUUCAGAGGUCCGGGAAUGCAGGCGAAGGCAAUGCCUCAGGGUGUGGCUUGGGACCUCCCACAAGUGUCCAGGACGAGCACUUCCCAGCAGCCUCCUGUCCUUCCCACGUCCCCACCAUCAGCAAGUGGGGCUGGGAUGCAAAGGAGAACCCAUGUGUGCGAGGAGACAAACUGUCUUUAUGCUUCGUGCUCUUCGGGUUAGCAUGAUGAUGAUGAGAGAUGCCAUGGUUUCAUAUUACAAUAUUUUUCUUAUUUAAACACAAAAUCCUUACACUUAGUUAUGAACUGAGAUGUACAUGGAGAUAGGCAUUUUUGCAUCGGUCUCUGGAAAGGUGAGUUGUCUGUCACACUCUCGCAGAGUGUGUAACCGAACUUGGUUUGGGCUGUUGUCUGUGUCACAGUCUCACAGAAGUGUGUAACUGAACUUGGUUUGGGCUGUUGUCUGUGCCACAGUCCCACAGACAGAGUGUGUAACUGAACUUGGUUUGGACUGUUGUCUCUGUCACACUCUCGCAGACAGAGUGUGUAACUGAACUUGGUUUGGGCUGUUGUCUCUGUCACACUCUCGCAGACAGAGUGUGUAACUGAACUUGGUUUGGGCUGUUGUCUGUGUCACAGUCUCAUAGACAGA